AGGACGAACGCUGGCGGCGCGCUUAACACAUGCAAGUCGAGCGAGAACCAGGGCUUCGGCUCUGGGGACAGCGGCGAACGGGUGAGUAACACGUGGGUAAUCAACCCUCGACAUCGGGAUAGCCCGGGGAAACCCGGAUUAAUACCGAAUGCUCCGUCUGGCCUUCGGGCCGGCCGGAAAAGGUAGCUUCGGCCUCCGGUCGGGGACGAGCCCGCGGCGGAUUAGCUUGUUGGUGGGGUAAAGGCCCACCAAGGCGACGAUCCGUAGCUGGUCUGAGAGGACGAUCAGCCACACUGGGACUGAGACACGGCCCAGACUCCUACGGGAGGCAGCAGUGGGGAAUCUUGCGCAAUGGGCGAAAGCCUGACGCAGCGACGCCGCGUGAGGGAAGAAGGCCUUCGGGUUGUAAACCUCUUUCAGGAGGGACGAAGCCACUCGGGUUAAUAGCCCAGAGGGUGACGGUACCUCCAGAAGAAGCCCCGGCUAACUACGUGCCAGCAGCCGCGGU
rnacentral:rRNA from 1 species